UACGAAGGGGGCUAGGCGUUGCUCGGAAUCACUGGGCGUAAAGCGCACGUAGGCGGCUUUCUAAGUCAGGGGUGAAAAUCCUGGAGGCUCAACUCCAGAACUGCCCUUUGAUACUGGAGAGCUUGAGUCCGGAAGAGGUGAGUGGAACUCCGAGUGUAGAGGUGAAAUUCGUAGAUAUUCGGAAGAACACCAGUGGCGAAGGCGGCUCACUGGUCCGGUACUGACGCUGAGGUGCGAAAGCGUGGGGAGCAAACAGG
rnacentral:rRNA from 1 species